rnacentral:rRNA from 1 species
CAUGCAGUCGAACGCUGAAGCACCAGCUUGCUGGUGUGGAUGAGUGGCGAACGGGUGAGUAAUACGUGAGUAACCUGCCCUUGACUCUGGGAUAAGCCCGGGAAACUGGGUCUAAUACUGGAUGCUACAUGUCACCGCAUGGUGGUGUGUGGAAAGGGUUUACUGGUCUUGGAUGGGCUCACGGCCUAUCAGCUUGUUGGUGAGGUAAUGGCUCACCAAGGCGACGACGGGUAGCCGGCCUGAGAGGGUGACCGGCCACACUGGGACUGAGACACGGCCCAGACUCCUACGGGAGGCAGCAGUGGGGAAUAUUGCACAAUGGGCGAAAGCCUGAUGCAGCGACGCCGCGUGAGGGAUGACGGCCUUCGGGUUGUAAACCUCUUUCAGCAGGGAAGAAGCCACAAGUGACGGUACCUGCAGAAGAAGCGCCGGCUAACUACGUGCCAGCAGCCGCGGUAAUACGUAGGGCGCAAGCGUUGUCCGGAAUUAUUGGGCGUAAAGAGCUCGUAGGCGGUUUGUCGCGUCUGCUGUGAAAGCCCGGGGCUUAACCCCGGGUGUGCAGUGGGUACGGGCAGACUAGAGUGCAGUAGGGGAGACUGGAAUUCCUGGUGUAGCGGUGGAAUGCGCAGAUAUCAGGAGGAACACCGAUGGCGAAGGCAGGUCUCUGGGCUGUUACUGACGCUGAGGAGCGAAAGCAUGGGGAGCGAACAGGAUUAGAUACCCUGGUAGUCCAUGCCGUAAACGUUGGGCACUAGGUGUGGGGGGACAUUCCACGUUUUCCGCGCCGUAGCUAACGCAUUAAGUGCCCCGCCUGGGGAGUACGGCCGCAAGGCUAAAACUC